rfam:Myotis davidii contig62212, whole genome shotgun sequence.
GAGACACCCUUCUGGGGCAGGACUUGCUUCAGUGGGGCUUUGGUGCUCACUGCAUCUGCCCCCUGAGUCUGUCUCU